UACUGUCCCAUCCCAAACCUCUAGUUUUGUGUGCCCUGGGAGGGACCAUCCAGCAGACAGCUUCUUUUUUGGGCGAAAAUGCUUAAAGGCCUUUGAUACUGACAGCAGGAGGAGGCUGCUGUGGCCAGCCUGAGCCUGAAGUGUGUCGCAGGGAGAGCUACCCACCCACAGUGCUCACCUUGGACUUGCUGGAACCUCCUGGGCAGCUUGAAACUGUUCCCUGCUGGGCCCAUCACAAGAGGGUCUGUCUUGUGAUCUGGGUGGGACCUGCCCUCACCCCAGUGAAAGGCCAGAGGGAGGAACUGAAUUCCUAUCUACUUGGUGUCCUGUGGCUGGGCCCUGGGGGAACCAGGCCCCUGCUGUCCCACACCCGCUCCUCCUCCCCACAUCUGGAGGGGACUGAGGGGCAGAUACACCUGGACCCAUCGGGGCAAGGCCACACCCACACCUCCCAUCAGGCAACACCACCCGUGGCAGGGCCCUCCCUGCAGCCUGAACUCGGCCUUGGGUUUCACUUGGAAGAUUUCUACUUGUCUUCAGGUCUCCUCUUCUAUGCUGCCUCCUCUUGGAAACCUCUGACUCCUCUGGAUUUGGGAGCCUUUCUCUUCCGUCUCUUGUGCUCCCAGUGCACCUUCAUUUUAGCAGCUAUGUCUGUACUCGACAGGCUGGGACUCUAGGGGGCCAGCCCUCCCUGUGAGCCUUCGCCUCCCCCAGGUUCCAGGGUGUUGAUGGGAAAGAGCUGGGGGCAGAGCCCUCCCAGAGCUGUUGAAACCCCUUGGUUAGGAUUGGGGUUGUGUGCUGGGGCUGGGGAGAAGGGAGAUUGUAGAAGGUGACAUAAGUUGAAUGCAGGCUGCAUUAUACCUUUUUUGAGAAGCCAAUAAACGAUAUUG
rnacentral:lncRNA from 1 species